rnacentral:lncRNA from 1 species
CUUCUAUGAAGUUAUCCCAUUUUUCUCUUCUCUGGGACACAAAGCAUUAUUUACCAUGUUGCCCCAGGCCUGGUCUUCCUGUAUCAUUCAACACCAAGGCUUUGUCAAAAAAGAGAAUGGCAAGUUGGAAAAAAGGAACUAAGGAAUGGUUGGCACUUGCUGUUUCUCUCUUAAGGAGUUCUCUACUUGCCAAGUGUACCUGCUUUGGACUUCUCAUGCCUAGGCUCCCCUGGCCAUGA